rnacentral:rRNA from 1 species
AUGGAGAAGCUGCAAGGUGUGGGCCUGAAGCCAUGGAUGGAUGUGUUUGGUAUGAGGAUAGCGGACGGCGAGGAGGCACCGAACCGAGCGGCGGGCAAGGACGAUGUGAAGCUGCGCGCACGGUCGUCCUAUCCCUCCUCCGCCUGCUGUUACUGGAAGCAAGCGCGGUACCAUCUCAUCUCAUCCACGAGGUGA